AGUUAGGGUUUAACCCAGGUUCUUCUUCUUUGCCUCUCCAGAGCACCCAUGUCUAUUAGGUCUUUGAAAUCGAUCUUCCAUCUUCUUCCUCAGAGUACGAAGCGUUACCAGUUACGGGAUCAUCAUCUUAAAACCCUCCAUUACUCUCUCACACACGAUCUAUAUUCAAUGCGAUUUCUGGAUCUGCAAGCGGUACAGGUUCGUCUAUAAAAAGACUGUCCGCUCCUCCUCCACUGUUCAAGUCCGUUUGCUGCGUUUCUGGGAGGCUAGGAGUGCCUGCCGUGGUUGAGAGCUCAUGGGUGUGGAUAUGCUCUUACUGGAUUCUCAGGUAUCGGAAGCUCCAACGUUUUAUGAUCUAUGUGCACGCGAAGGGGAUGAUAGUAGAUGAUGAGUAUGUACUCAUGGGAUCUGCUAAUACCAACCAAAGAUCAGUGGCCGGUAUUGAAAGAUACAGAAAUAGCAAUGGGUGCAUAUCAACCCCAUCAUACAUGGACUAACCAGGCAAGACACCACGUGGCCAGGUGUAUGGAUACAAAAUGUCACUAUGGGCAGAGCAUUUAGGCAAAACAGGAGAUGAGUUCGUGGACCCUGCUGAUCUAGAAUGCGUAAACGAAAUCGCUGAAGGAAUUCUCAGAGCUGCAAGGUCACUUGAUUAAACAUCCUCCACAAGUAGACAGUGAAGGUAAAGUGAACUCGCUUCCAGAUUACGACAGCUUCCCAGAUGUUGGUGGUAAGAUCAUUGGAGCUCAUUCAAUGGCUCUCCCUGAUACUCCAACCACGUAAUGU